CCACAUUCUGUUGUUUUCUCCAUUGUCUUCCAGUAGUAACAUCUACAAUGUCAGGGUUCCUGUGUGGGUGUGUGAGUGCGAGUAACAUAUCUCUUCUAACGAGGAUCUUGGUGGAGAGCCUGGGCAGCCUUUACAGGUGGAGCUCAUCAGCCUCAUCAGAGUGCUGGGGAUAAAGGAGCAGCAGAGCCUUCAUUCAGUGCUGGAUGAUUAACGUCUACUGGUUUUGUCACUGGAUCUUUCUAGAGGAAUUAGUUCAACCAUUUUCUCCUCCUGUGGAACCCACCAGCAAGUACCUGCCUGCCUGCUCUAUCGUUCCCCCCAUCUCCACUCCGCUCAAUCAGACCUCUGGCUCUCGGUCACCACCUACCUCGCACUCGCCUCAGGAAGCACCAUCACCAUUCUCCACACAGGACCCCUGGGCACCUCUCUCCCACGCUUCACCAAACCCAUUUGAAAGUAAGCUUUUUCUUACUGCAUCUGAUCAACUCAUCACAGGCCACCAAUAACCCAACUCUCAUUCCAGGCGCCAUGGAUUGUGUGACACUCACCCCUCCCAGAAACAUCAAGGAGACCUGUCAGUAGUCGCUUGUUCUUUUGAAAGAAAUAAAACCUAUUCCUAACUUUGACUUGUUGAUUCUGCAUGUGGGUCAGAAGGUUAAAUCCGAACAUGUC